rnacentral:lncRNA from 1 species
AGGUCCACCUGAACUCCUGAUCUCACCUGGGGGGGUCAAGAUGAGAUAUCAAGGAUGCAUAGCAGUAAGUAGAAAAGUGGCCUCUGCAACUCGUCGUGUGGGGCUCCACACAGCAGCUUUCCAUCUGCGAUGCUUCCCCACAAUAUGACAAGAUCCAUCUGUGAACAGUGUUGCGAACCCCCGAGGGUUCGAAACCGGAAUCUAGUCCGUUCGCUGGCCGAGCCACGUGGGGAGUGAUGACAUGACCCAAUAUGAGUGCAUCAGAAUCUCCGUUUAUUAUCCAUUACUUACACACAUAUAUAGAUCGUGGCGAAUGUGCGUCAGCGUGUAAUUGGUUGAAGCAUCGCGAAAAGCCCCCUGCCUAAGAAUACUAGUGGUCGUGCAUGUUUUCAUACCAUUCCACUGUCUUAAUCUCUUCCCAGGCUAGCUACCCCCUUAUCUUAACUGAAGCCUCAGUUUGUCUUCCUGCUUUGACAGCUUCAAGGUCUCAUAGCCUGGGUAGUGCACAUAGCACCCGAGCUCACAGCCAUUAUAACAAGCUAGUACUUUUCCAUCUGUAUCCCCUGCCAAUUGUUAGGCCUUUUCUGCUCGUACAACUGUUCAAGAGACCCAUGACCCCCUUGGCUGUGGAGCCAUCCCUCAACAGAACAGGGUAUAUUUCUUUUCAUUUUCUGGAAGUUCAUUGUAUGGUGGGGCUUCUUUAGCACGUGAUACCUCCUCUCCUGGUGAUUUUCCAAACUUUUUACCUUCCGGACAGUCCAUGAUCGCCUCUAAGAUUCCUGGAUGACUGAGGUUCCCCAUCCGAGCCCGUUGCGUAAUCAGCGCAAUCCACUUACUCCAAGUGGCAUCAGUAGCAUGAUGGGUAGAGGGAACCUUUCCCUUGAACAUCCAGUUCAACACUGGCAAUCGAGGUGCUAGAAGGAGCUGCGUUUCAGUACCAACUACUUCAGAAGCAGCUCUAACCCCCUCAUAUACAGCUAAGAUCUCCUUUUCAGUUGGAGUGUAGUGCUCUUCAGACCCCCUGUAGGCCCGACUCCAGAGUCCCAGGGGUCGGCCUCGGGUCUCCCCUGAGGCUCUUUACCACAAACUUCAGGUGGGACCUUUCUCUCCAGCAGCAGUGUAGAGGAUGUUCUUUACAUCCUGUUCCGUCCGUAGUGGCCCCAGGGCCACGGCACGGGCUAUCUCCUGUUUGAUCUGCUCAAAAGCCUGCUGCUGUUCAGGACCCCACGUGAAAUCAUUCUUCUUCCGCGUCACUUGAUAAAGGGGGCUUACAAUGAGGCUAUAGUUUGGAACAUGCAUUCUCCAAAAGCCCACUACGCCCAGAAAAGACUGUGUCUCUUUCUUAUUAGUGGGCAGAGACAUGGCAGUGAUUUUGUCAGCCACAUUUGCUGGGAUGUGACGGCAUCGUCCACCUUGCCAUUUUAUGCCUAGAAACUGAAUCUCUUGUGCAGGUCCUUUCACUUUGCUUCGCUUAAUAGAGAAACCAGCACUAAGAAGGAUCUGGAUUACUUGCUCUCCGUUCUCAAAAACUUCCCUUGCUGUGUUUCCCCACACAGUAAUGUCGUCAAUGUACUGUAAGUGCUCAAGAGCACCUCCCUGUUCCAGUGCAGCUUGAAUCAACCCAUGGCACAUUGUUGGGCUGCAUUUCCACCCCUGGGGCAAACGAUUCCAGGUAUACUGAACGCCCCUCCAGGUGAAAGCAAACUGUGGCCUACAUUCCGUGGCCAAUGGAAUGGAAAAGAAAGCAUUAGCAAUGUCAGUGUUGGCAUACCACUUGACUGCUUUUGACUCCAGUUCAUAUUGGAGUUCUAACAUGUCCGGCACAGCAGCACUCAGCGGGGGUGUGACUUCAUUCAGGCCGUGGUAGUCUACCGUCAGCCUCCAUUCUCCACUGGCUUUACGCACUGGCCAUAUGGGGCUGUUAAAAGGCGAGUGAGUUUUGCUGAUCACUCCCUGACUCUCUAGUUGACGAAUCAACUUCUGAAUGGGGAGUAAGGAGUCCCUGUUAGUGUGGUACUGCCGUCUAUGCACCAUUUUUGUAGCCAUCGGUACCUGUUGGUCUUUUACGCCACAAUCCCACAACAGACGGAUCUUCUGAUAGGCCAGACAACGCAGACAACUAACACCUGUGUUUACAGCAGCUAUUCCAAAGGCCCAUUGAUACCCUUUGGGAUCCUUAAAGUAUCCCCUUCUGAGGUAAUCAAUACCAAGUAUACAUGGAGCCCCUGGACCAGUCACAAUAGGAUGUUUUUGCCAGUCUUUGCCAGUGAGACUUAUUUCUUCCUCCAACAUAGUCAACUCUUGGGAACCCCCAGUCACCCCAUGAAUAUAAAUUGAUUCUGUCCAUUGGUGACUCGAGGGCAUUAGAGAGCACUGUGCACCAGUGUCUACCAGUGCCUUAAAUUUCUGUGGUUUGAUGUGCCAGGCCAUCUAAUCCACACAGUCCAAUACACUCUAUUAUCCCUUUUCCCCUCUUGGCUGGGGGCAGGGCCCCUCUAUUUGUUACCUUGGUUGUCUGCAGCAAGUGGAGCGAUCACCCUUUUGGAGGACUUCACCUUGGUGGUUGAUCUGUCUUGUAGUUCUCUUAUCCGUGCUUGAAGUGCAGAAGUGGGUUUCUUUUGCCACUUCUUCAUAUCUUCUCCAUGGUCACGCAGGUAACGCCACAAGGCAAGACGUGUUAUAGUCUUACCGUUAUCAUUUCCUCUAGCAGGAGGACGUCCCCUUUUGAUGGCUGAGAUGUUGGAUGAUGUAGGUCGGGAGGACACCAAGUUGAUCAGCUCUUCCAGUGGAGGGUUUUGGGAAUUCUGGUCCUCGUCCACCAUGCAUCCAUCAGCAUCAUGUUUGGUAGACAGUUCGUCUAUUAUAUCUUCUUGUUUGCUCUCUAUUCUGUCUAGCUUUUCAACUAUCCUUGUGAUGGCUGAAACACAAGCUUGCAGAGGAUUUAAAUGCAACUCAAAGUCUUGGAGUCUAUUAACCAGAUCAUCUAUAAGGGGUCUUCUUUCUCCUCUGCCAUACAUUGCUGCAAAUGUACUGGCAUACCUUUCUGGUGCAGUCUUAGUGAAUGUGCGCCACAUAUUUGGUGUACACCGGACUCUCUCAGGAUCAUGCUCUUGGUCUGGCUCAUCAGGGAGGAAGUCAGGGCUGUAUAUCAUUUCCACCACAGCACAUUCUCUCAAAUAACAGAUGCCCUUUUCCAUAUCAGUCCAUUUCCUUUUCUCAGGCAUGAGAUCAUCUUUAAAGGGGUGUUUUUUUCUCAUGGCUAACAACAUCCACUUCCAGAGGGUGAAGGCCUGGUUCUGGCAUGUGCUAAUACAUCUGUCAAUGGCUGAGUCCCUAGCAAUGCCGCCGAGCUGACGAGCUUCUCUGCUAUCUAGCCACACACUGUUGGCCCCACUGUCCCAGCAUCGAAGUAACCAGGUGACAAUAGGCUCAUUGGGGUGGCGUGUGAAGUCCUUUCUCAGACCACGAAUUUUGUUCAUUUUCAAAGAUCUAUCCACAAUGGUUACGAUGUCUUGCUCACCUCCUGCUCUUUCAGGACUUCCUGCCCUCCUUGGUGUUUGUGCAUGCAGUCUUAUUGAGGGCAUGGGCACUCCAGUUCCUUGGAGCCACUCCACUGGACCUCUUUCCUCCUCUUCUCUUACAUCGCCUGCUUCCUCUACUUCAGCCUCCUCCUCUUCUCUUACAUUGACUGCUUCCUCUACUACACCCUCCUCCUCUUUCUUCUGUUCUAACUGAGUGGAAAUUCGUUUUGUUUUUCGUCCUCUUACAGGGGCAACUGACAUUGAUUCUGGUGCCUCCUGCGGUUGAUCAGGUUGGUCAGUCCCGAUGCUCUUACUCUCCAGCUCGUCUCGGAGUCUAUCUCGCUGAAUUAUAAGAGUGCUUAAUUCAGAUUCGAGCUUGGCUUGAUGAGACUGAAUUUUGGUUAUCUCACUUUGGAGACUGAAUUGUGUGUGCUGGAGAGCAUCUCGCUCAGUUCGGAGUACAUCCCAUUCGGACUCGAGGGUGUUCCUCUUGAACUGGAGUGUGUUUCGCUCCGACCAGAGGGCAUCAUGUUCAAAUUGCAGGUUGUCAAGUUUGAAUUGCAGGGAGUCUCUUUCGUUUUGGAGGGCGCCUCUCUUAGACUGGAGCAUAUCUUGCUCAGACUGGAAGGUAUCAUGUUGAAGUUGGAGGUUGCCAAGUUUGGAUUGCAGGAAGUCUCUCUCGUUUUGGAGGGCAUCUCUCUCAGACUGGAGUGUGUCUCACUCAGACCGGAGAUUCUCCUUCUCAGCUUGGAGACCCUCUCGCUCGGCCCAGAGACUCUCCUUUUCGGCUUGGACUCUCAAUUUCUAGAAUUCUUUCCCUCUCUGGGAUAGUAUUAAAUAAGGCCCGAUAAGCAUUAGCCAGGCCCCAAAUGAUUUGUGCCUCCUCAGACCUGCCUAGGCCCUGUCUCAAAUAUCUGUUUAGGCUCACGGGAUCUUUUAGGUGUUCAGGAGUAAAGUUCCAUGACACCAAACAUGUCCAUCUCUCUAAAGUCUCUCCCAAAUCUCUCCACACACCCUGCCACUCAGUAUUCUCUGGUUUUGGAGGGGACUUGUUCAGAAUAUGAUAAAUCCAGAUACUGAGUGAAAUAAUUACAAUGACAAACAGUGCAUUCAGGGAGAUUAACAACGUGAUCAAAUGAGCAUUCAAACAAUCCAUAAAGGAUUCGCAAGAGAGACUGGGAACCUGCUUCAAAAUUGCAAGUUCUGUGAAAUUAGCACCUCUCUCUACAAACUGGAUUAAAACAAAGAACAGAAUCAUUUUUUUUAUCAUUUUAUUUCUUCUUCUUUACUAAUGCAAGAUAGCAGUGCUCAAAGUUACAAAAUAUCUCAAAAUAUUGGCAGUCCGCCUGGACUUUCAAGGUCAAGUUUGCAGUGAGCACCUAUGAAAGUGAUAAACUUUUCCAACAAAGCUCUCUGAGAGCAGAGAGAGAUUCGUUCUAAAAAGCAGCUUGUGCCUGCAUUCUCCACCAAAAAUGUCAACGGUUUAAGGGCUGGUCCAGUCCUGUUCCAUGACUAGUGGGGCGAAGGGAUUUCACAAAAUCCACGCCUCCAGGAAGGGAAACAGGGGACCCCAAAAUAAUUAAAAACAGCAGCAACGAUCUGAGGAGAAACAAACUAAUUUACUAAAUAUAGUAUCAGAAUGUAAGAUAACACACUAUAAUACAAUAUAAAAAAACAAUAAUUGAGAGAAAGAUUGUCUGAGAGCCAAAGGCCUUACACUAAUACUGAAGCCUUGCGUGCAGUCGGGAGCAGCAGUAGCGAGCCGAUCCGACAGGGAACACGGCGAGAUGAGAAGAUGGACGAGUCAGAUGACCUGCGCCCUUAUAUCUGUUCCCCUGAGCAGGAAUGAUAACAGUACUCGAAAAGGCUCUUGGGGACCGUAGUUCUUCUUCUCUUCCAGACAGGUACCCGGAACUAAAGCAUUUUCUCUUUAACUCCCAGUACACUGCAUGAUGUUGUGAUGUAGAAUACUGAUAACCAAAAAUCAUAAAACCAUGACACAUGGGAUCCCUGAAAUGCUCCCUUCUGAGGUUAUCAAUACCAAGUAUGCAUGGAGCCCCUGGGCCAGUCACAAUAGGGUGCUUUUGCCUGUUUUUACCAGUGAGGCAUAUUUCGGCCUCCAACACAGACAAUUCCUGAGAUUCUCCAGUCACUCUAGAAAUAGAAAUCAAUUCUGACCCUUGGUGACUUGAGGGCAUUAGAGUGUACUGUGCACCAGUGUCCACUAGUGCCUUAUAUUUCUGUGAAUCUGACGUGCUGGGCUAUCGAGUCCAUUCAGUCCAAUAAACUCUACUGUCCCUUUUCCCCCUGACUGAGGGUAGGGCCCCUCUAUUCAUUACCUGCAGUAACUGGAGUACUUGCAUUGUUGGUUGAUCUGUUUUGUAGUUCUCUCACCCGUGCUCGUAGUACAGGAGUGGGUUUUUUAUGCCACAUCUUCAUGUAUUCUCCAUGCUCGCAUAAAUAACUCUACAACGCAGCAUGUGACAUAGAUUUACUGCUGUUAUUUGCUUGGGCAGGAAGACGUUUGACUGUAAUAGCUGAGAUUUUUGAUGUUACGGGUGAGGAGGAGGGAUCAUCGCCUUUGAUUAGUUUGAUCAGAUCCUUCAGUAGACUCCUUUGAUCAUCCUGAUCUUCAUCAGGUGUUUCUGAUACUACCAUGGGUUCAUCAUGAUUAAUCAACAGUGACAAUUCCUCCAGCAUACCGUCCAGUUUCUUCUCCACUUUAACUAGUCUUUCUGUUACUUUUGAGAUGGCUGAAAUGGAAGCAUGCGUUGAAGGUAACUGUUGUUCAAAGAUUUGAAGCAUAAUAAUCUGUUCAAAAACUAGAGGUCUUCUCUGUUUGUCCUUGUGUCUGUCAAUUGUUGCUGUUAGUGUACCAGCAUACUUUUCUGGUGCUGUUCUUGGGAGUUUCCGCCAUAUAUCGGGUGUACUCCCCACUCUCUCACGAUCAUAGUCCUGGCGUGGAAUGUUAGGAACAAACAUGGGGUCAUACAACAUCUCCACCAUGGCUUUUCUCUCAAAUACUGGGUAACUUUUUCAACAGCAUUCCACUUUUUCAUCUCAGGCUUCAGAUUUUCUUUGAAGUGAUAUCUUUCCUUCACGGCUGCUAACACUCGUUCCCAGAGGGUGGCUGCUUCGUCUGAACAUCUACUAAUCCCUCUGUCAGUAGCUGAGUCUCCAGCAAUGCCUCCUAGUUGGCGAGCUGCGUUACCAUCCAGAAACACACUGUUGGCCCCGGUGUCCCAACAGCGAAGCAACCAGGUAACAAGAGUUUCAUUCAGACGCCGUGUAAACUCCUUUCUUGAGCCUUGGAUUUCAGUCAUCUUCACAGGUCGACGAGUAGUGGUAACAGUGACUUCCUCCUUCUCACUCUCCUCUCUUUGUCUCUUCAAUUUUUCCGUUGCCUUUCUUGAUGACGGUGGUUUUCGGAAGUGCCCUUCACCUGCAUCUUCCCUUACUUCCUCUGUGCCUUCUUCUUCUUUCCCUUCUAGACGUGAGGACACCCGUUUCCAUUUCUGUCCCUCCACAGGGGAAACUGACAUCAAUACUGGUGCCUCCUGUGAUUGAUCAGGAUUGACUUGGAGGCUUCCCCCUAUGGUUUGGAUCUCAGUUUGGAAAUUCUCUCUCUCCAGAAGAGUAUUAUAUAGAGCUCGGUAAGCAUGAGCCAAGCCCCAAAUAAGAUGUGCCUCCUUAGAUCUUCCUAAGCCACACCAUCCCUGACUCAGACACUCGCUUAGUUUCUCGGGAUACCACAGAUGUUCAAGAGUGAAAUCCCAUGACACUGCGGGUCUCCAUGCUUCUAAGGUUUUUCCUAGACCUCUCCAUAUUCCUUGCCAUUCAGCAUUCUCUGGUUUUGGAGAAGACUUCUUCCACAUCAAGUAAAUGGAGAGGAAUACAUUCAGGGAAAUCGAUAACACGCUCACUAACUCGGCAUUCCAAAAAUGGGUAAGGAACUGAGAAGAGAGCCUGGAAACCAGUUUGAACAUCGUGUUGUUCGUAAAAUUAGCUACUAAAUCUGGGAUGUAAUUGUCAAUAUUCAAAUCAUACAACAUUGUAUUUAAGUACCAGAUGUGUCUCCCUCAGUGCCCUUACUUGGUUAUAUAUGGUUGCAACUCCAAAACAGAAAAUGAUUAACUUAAUAAGAAACCAAUAAGUUCCAAUAAACAUAAUGACCUUUAAUCCUUUAUACAGUGCUCCCAAAAUAAAGAGCAGAUUCAUAGCUGGCAGUUGCUAAAAGGAGAACAAAAGAAACAAAAAAAACUUGGUAAGUGUUCAGAGUCUGGCAGACUGCCCCUGCCUACAAUCUAUAUUCUAUGAAGGUCAAAACUAGCUACAGUAGCUACAGUGCUUUGCAACUCCCUGUCUUUAUGAAAACCUUUUUUUUAAAUUUAUUUUAUUUUUUUUCCUGAUAAUGUUAAAAGGUUCAGAGUCAGUUCAGAUUGCUCGCAUUCUCCACCAACAGUACUGCUCAGGCUUUAGCCACACUCACCAAGUUAGAAUGUUUGCCAGCUAAGGAAAGUAAUGCCCCUAGUGAUGCUCUAGCAGGCUUGCCCACUGAUGUUGUUUCUAUCCUGCACGCAACUUGAGAAAAUUGUGCAACCUCUGAUUGUUUAUUCUUAGCCCAAGUGCAUGGGUAUGAAGAUUUUAAAAGCAUGUGUUGUAUGAACCUUAGUGAUAAUUCAAAAUCAAUAUAUCAGAGUAUACAAAGGUUGAAGAUUUCCUUUAAUCAGUUAUAGGUACACACAGAAUGGGACCCUCAGGGAUUCUUUUCCAGGUUUCAGGAACUUGGUCAUGGACCAAAUAUGUGUUCAUUCUUUUCUUAAUGGUUUUAAUAGUAUUUCUUGCCAUUAUGCUGUGUUUGCCUUGUCUCUUUUCUUAUGUUCAGCAUGUUAUCAAUCAAAGCCUUGAUCGAGUCAUGAUAACCUAAAUACAUCCAGCAAUACUGUUACAAAGUGUUAUACAAUGAAAGAGAAAGCUCUAAGUCAGGCGGUCAGGAUGUUGUGUACAAGGCGUGAUUAUGUUAUUAAUAUGAUUAGUGUUAUUAUUUUGUACUAUGGUAGUAGUUUGCUAAUGAACAAAAAAGGGGGAAUUGUGGGAAUACAAGAAAGACUAUUCAGAGCAGCAGCUGUGGAGCAAGAUAAACAGCAUGAGAAAGCAACACUGAGAACUAAGGACAUCUCCAGAAGAAGAGAAAAGUAAAAUCAAGUAAGCUGUGUGAUGGCCGUGUGAUGAUAACCCUGAUUGGAGAAAGUGCGCAUGGCUAGGAAUGACUCAUGUCUCUGAUUGGAUAAGCACCCGCAUGCACAGUUAAGGCGUGUUUGUGGAAUGUUGUUUUGUUGACAUGUAAAUGUGAGUGGGAAAGUUAUGAGAGAAAACUUGUGAAUGUAUGUAAGGGAUGUUAGAACCUGCAAUAAAUGCUUUGGAUUGCUCACAUCUGAGUCCGUGUAUCAGACACUGCAUCAGUGGAUGGCAGGAGUGUUCAGAUUGAGAGAAAGAUGCAUUAGCAUCUGUGCGGUGCAGGCAAUUUUAAGGGGCCAUGCAAAAAUUGAGCCCAUUUGUUUGCCACAACCACGCUGGAUCACGAAUACAAAACAAAUCACCAAGACCGUGCAGGAGCUGGAGAGAGUAGGGAUCGUUAGACCUGCACACAGCCUGUGCAACUCACUCAUAUGGCCAGUCAGCAAGUCAGGCGGUACAUGAUGAAUGAUGGUAGACUACAGAGAACUAAAUAGUCAUGCCGCUAACCUGUACAGCUGUACCCAAUGUUGUCUCUCUCAUAGAUACAUUAAGUAGAGAAAUAUAGAAACAUACCACUGCGUUCUGGAUCUAGCAAAUGCAUUUUUCAGCAUUCCAAUUGCUACAGAAUCCCAAGACCAGUUUGCAUUCACAUGGGAGGGCAGGCAGUGGACUUUUCAAGCUCUGCCUCAGGGGUACAUGCAUUCACCUACCUUUUGUCAUAAUCUGGUGGCACAUGACUUGGCAAAUUGGAACAAACAGUCUACCAUCAAAAUGUACCACUAUAUCAAUGAUCUAAUGUUAAUGUCCAAUGUAGGCAUUAGAGAAGGCAGUAACUUCACUAAUUGUCUAUUUACAAGAAAAAGGGUGGGCU